AUUUGUUUGACAUAUUGAUGCCUGAUGGCUGAUGCUGUUUGCAUAUUAUAGAUUUCUAUCCCCGAAGCCAAGACCUUAUAUAUAUUACCGAUUCACUUGAGUGAGAUAGAGGAGAGUGGAAUUUCUUGUGUAGGGGGGGGGGUGAAUUCCGGAGAUCUACAAAGGAAUGCCAGAAGCAAAGGCAGCUCUCUGGGUCCCUACCGAUGCUGAGGUGCGAAAGCAUGGGGAACAAACAGGAUUAGAUACCUUGGUAGUCUUGUUGUAAGCGUAUCACAUCUAGGGUUUGUGCGCAUAAGCUGACCUGUGCACCUCUUCUAAAAAAAGUUACUAUUAAUGUC
rnacentral:ncRNA from 1 species